CUAUCAGCUCUCCCUUCUUCCUCUCUUUUCUCUCUUGCCCUUCUUCUCUUAAUCCUUGUUCAAACUAAUCCAAUCAUCCAAGGUGGGGGAAUACCUCUGUUUCAUCUCUCCCAAACUAAAUUGGGGUUUCUUUCAGACCUAAGGAUGAACAUGCAUGAGGUGAAUCAAUAAAAUCUGAUUUUGCUUUUGGCUGUAAAGUAAGGUAGCACAGGAAGGGCGAGUCCAUCACCACGGUCGCCUACUUGGAUUCGGCCGGAAUGGAAUCAUACCCUUGCCACGACAUUCAGUUCCUCGAUUUCGAGGGUUUCUCUAGUUUCCAGUAUUGCCCUCUUCAGAUUAUCAGUAGAAGAGAUUGUUUUUUAUAGCAAUCAUGAGUUCGAGCAGUGGAAUGAGAACCGACCUGUGCCAAGGUCUUGAUGUGUUCAGAAGCACCACUAUCAACAGGCGACGCAGGGCAUUGCAUAUAUAUAGGAGUGGUCUACUUGGUGAUGAUCACAGCUUCGCCCAAUCUAGAGGUUCACGAUCUGGAUGAGCUACCGGAGCAGUGGCGGAGGUUCAAGCUGGCUUGGCUUUGUAAGGAGCUGCCGUCGCAUAAUUCCGGGGCUUUGAUUCAGAUUAAGGAUUAUGAUACCAAGAAGUCUGGUAUUUUGAAAGAAAUCUGCAGAAACUGUCCUGCAGUACAGCCUUCUUUGGGAAGAGGACACUCGAAGUAGCCGGUUGAAAUUGUCAAUAUUCCUACUGCUAAUGUAGCCUCAAUUUGGUUUUAGUGUUGCAAAGAACAUCAAGUGCAGACAAUCUUGAGGAUCAAUGAUAUCCUUUUGCUAUACUAGAUGAAUCACUAGUACAUUCAAACAAUUGAUACCUUGGACAAAAGAAGAGGUCAGUACGUACUCUUAUCUUAUUUGUUGCUGAGAUGUCAUUAUUUCCAGUUUUUGUCGAUUAACAUUGGGAUUUGUUUGUUGUCUUACAAGUUUUCAUGCUUUUGGGGCUGAAAUUGUUACCUUUUUUGUGUUUUGGUGUCAUGAUCUUUUGAUUUGAUUAAGGUAAUUGAACUUAGUGGAUUAUAUCUCCAAAUAAAUGAAAAUGAUCAGCCUUAUUAUCAUAGAUUUUCUACUUUAAGCUUUUUAUCAAUUUUAUGUCCCGUAUAAAGAAUGGAGGUGUAAAAUGAACUAUUUUAACUGUACAUCAGCUUGCUGUGGUUUAAAGAUGACUUUGUUAGUCAGAAUAUUGUUAAGUGUAAAAUUAACUAUCGUAUCUGUCCAUUAGCUUACUGUGGUUUGCAAUCUUUUCAGCUUUUAUGAAAAGAUUGGAUGUAUUAGAGCUGCAAUCUGAUAAUUUGUAAUAGAGCUGCAAUAUGUAGAUUGAAAUCUUUUCAGCUCUAUUUCUUCAUUUUGUAAUAGAGCUGCAAUUUGAUGAUUUUUUUUAAAACAAUUUUUCAGUUUUCAAUCUUUAUCAAAGAGAUCGUAGAUUGUAAUAGAGCUGCAAUCUGUAGCAAAGAGAUUGUAGAUUGUAAUAGAGCUGCAAUCUGUAGAUUGUAAUUGUUUAGACUAAUCACCGACUAUUUUGAUGGAGUCAGCGUUUGCAAUCUUGAGCUGUAGCCUUUUUUUUUUUUUUUAGUAGUGAUUUAUGUACUUUAUAUGAAAAGUUC